AAUCAACGCUGGCGGCGUGCCUAACACAUGCAAGUCGAACGAGAAAGUGGAGCAAUCCAUGAGUACAGUGGCGUACGGGUGAGUAACACGUGACUACCUACCCUCGAGUGGGGAAUAACCUCGGGAAACCGGGGCUAAUACCGCAUAACAUCUACGGAUCAAAUGCGAAAGCAGCUUGAGGAGGGGGUCGCGGCCGAUUAGCUAGUUGGUGAGGUAAUGGCUCACCAAGGCAAUGAUCGGUAGCCGGCCUGAGAGGGCGCACGGCCACACUGGAAUUGAAACACGGUCCAGACUCCUACGGGAGGCAGCAGUGGGGAAUUUUGCGCAAUGGGGGAAACCCUGACGCAGCAACGCCGCGUGGAGGAUGAA
rnacentral:rRNA from 1 species